CUGGGAGAGCUAGAGACACGUCCAUGUCGACCCACACUGAAACGGAGAUUCGGAGAGGUGCGGAAGACCGAGGAACAACAAGGAAGGGGAGCGAGGGACAGAGAAAGGGGACGCUGAGGGACAGAGCCGAGGGAGACUGACGACAGGAGGGCGCUGAAGAGGAAAACUGGCACGCUCCAUGACAGCCCUUAGAGCAAUGUCACAGAGCCCUGAAGUCCAAUACCCUUCAUCUUACAGAUGAGGGAACCAAGUCCCCCAGAGGGGAAGGGGGCAAGCGAGGCAUCACACAGUGAGUGCAAAACACCUAACCAACCAAGACGUCUCCAGGAAAUCCUCCUAGACUGGAUGAGCGGAAAAGAAAGGGAUGGGUCCAGUUUCCCGCUCUUUGCCGUGAUCACCCCCUAGCACUCCUAUUUAGGUAUCUGUAGGGCCAGAUUGGAAGGGUGAGAAAGGAAUUCUGGGGGUUCCUUCAUGAAUGGAAGCCGCAUCUCUCAUAUGGAGAAGGGGAGAGCGCAUAUGUGAGAUGAGGGAGAUGGUAGUUUGUAACUAUUUUCCGGAGCCUUUGUUUUCUCUUCUCUUCCUCUCUCCUCUCUUUCCCUUUCUCUGUCUCUCUCCAGUUCACUCUCAGUUUCUCUUUCUCACUCACUGUUUGACCAGCUCUCUCAGGCUACAUUUCUUCAAUGCCAUCUUUGUCUCUGUCUCCUCAAACUCCAUCCCUUCCCUGCCUUUUUGCACCUUGACCUUUAUGGAAUCAUAGUCCUGGAAGGGAUCCAACCAUCUCAGUUUUUAGGUGGGAAAGAUGAAGCCAAAGGAUGUUAAUUGAUUUUGCUUUUCCCAGCCAUUCUCUCAAUAGAUUUUGUUACUGAGGCAGGAAGUCCUUUAGAGACUCUCUGAUUCAAUCUCUUCCCUUUGCAAAGUGGGAAACUGAGGCCUAGGGAAGGGGCAGGCCCUUGGCCAAUGCCCCCCAGCAGAUUGGAGGCAGAGCCAGGGGGCUCAGGGUGCCCUCCUCCCACCACGGCUCUCCCUCUGUCUUUGGGCCUCCUUUUUCUUUGCUCUCUCCUCUGUGGCUUCUGCUUCCCACUUGGUCCCUCAUCUCUUUGCAUCUUUCAGACCUACUGGAAGAGCCUCACGUGUCUCUCCAACUCUCGGCGUCUGCGCCUGUUUCUGUGUAUCUGAGAAUUUCUAUGUGACUAUGACUGUCCCUUGGGUGUUUGUGAUGGGAGCCCCCUGGUUUUGUCCAGGGGACUUCGUCAGGGGCUGAGGGGAGUGUGUGCUUCCCAUCGUCUCCUUCAGCGGUAUCCCUUUUCUCCCUGCCCCUUUCUCAGUCUUUGCCCGCAACCCCUCUCAGAUUUAGUUCUUCCCCCCGCCCCAGCCCCUUGGCCAGGGCCACUGGAGAGGGUGGUCCCCUCCAGGCCAGCCCUUUCCCUUCCAGUUCCCCCAGGGUCCCUGGAGGAUCUCACCCCCUUUCAGAUCACUAGGGAUCCCCAGCUCCCCCCUUGGAGUUCUCCCUCCCUUCCUCCCCAGGGUUCAGGGGGUGGUGAGGGGAGUGGGGGGGAAUGGGUUAAGAGAGGUGCGCGUGUCGUGGGAUGGAAAGCAAAGAACACAGCGUUAGACACGGAUGUAGAGAUGGACGUUUAUAACGGCAAAAAAAGGGUGAGUCACUGGGGUAAGGGAGGCAUGUGGGGGAAGGGGGACUCAGAGAAGGGGAAGGGUCAUGGAGCUAAUACACAGAGCGCUAUCCACACAACGGACACUGGGCAGUGGGGGAGGGAGAGAGGGGCCACGGCCCAGGCAUGGCAAUGGGGGAGUGUUGAGUGGGGAAGUGGCGGCGAACCAAGGUCCAGACAGCGGGCGGCGGCUUGGGCGAGGGACGAGACCAGUAAGAGGAG